rnacentral:ncRNA from 2 species
AAGCGCCGUAUACCGAACGGUACGUACGGUGCUGUGGGAGGUCGGCUGAUCAAAUAAUGAUCAGCUUCCUACCCGAU